UACAGAGGGUGCAAGCGUUGUUCGGAAUUAUUGGGCGUAAAGCGCGUGUAGGCGGCUUUGCAAGUCGGGUGUGAAAGCCCUCGGCUCAACCGAGGAAGUGCGCCCGAAACUGCAGAGCUUGAGUACCGGAGAGGAUGGCGGAAUUCCCCCAGUAGAGGUGAAAUUCGUAGAUAUGGGGAGGAACACCGAUGGCGAAGGCGGCCAUCUGGACGGAUACUGACGCUGAGACGCGAAAGCGUGGGGAGCAAACAGG
rnacentral:rRNA from 1 species